GCCAUUUUUUACAAUAACCCUCGUUUAGUUCACUUCAUUGUUCGUCGUCCUCGAUAUACGCCUGCAAUCGUCUCUGCAUCAUCCUUUAAACGAUCUUGAUAAUGAAGAUGGACACUACUGGUCAGGAAUCAGCCACUUUUUUCGGUGACGUCUUUUGAUAUUCCAAAUUCUGUGCUUAUGUGAGUGAACAUGUGUAACACCCGAGCUUAGGAGCUACCGGUACGAUUUAUCAGUUGAAGAAGCUGCUGAACUGUCUAGAAGAGCAAUUUAUCAUGCAACAUUCUGAGACGAGGUCAGUAACAGAGUUGCUAUUGGUAUCUCCUGAUUACCUCUCCUUAUCAUGUCGAUAUGCAUAUCGUAUAUCCAUUUCCCGUUUCUAAGCAUAGUUUCAUCUGAAAUUGGGUUUUUGUUCAGUUUUGUUAGAUCCAUAUUUGUUUGAGAGGGAAACGAAACAUUGUUUUAUAAGGGUGUGGAAACCUC